rnacentral:rRNA from 1 species
UACGUAGGUGGCAAGCGUUGUCCAGAUUUAUUGGGUUUAAAGGGUGCGUAGGCGGUUCCAUAAGUCAGUGGUGAAAUACGGCAGCUCAACUGUCGAGGUGCCAUUGAUACUGCGGAACUUGAGUACUGAUGAGGUAGGCGGAAUUGACGGUGUAGCGGUGAAAUGCUUAGAUAUCGUCAAGAACACCGAUAGCGAAGGCAGCUUACCAAGCAGUAACUGACGCUGAGGCACGAAAGUGCGGGGAUCAAACAGG